GCCUGAUAAGAGGCACAGCAUCAAAGGAAGGGGGUGGGAACAUCACCCACUCCUUCUCCUUAGUAGCAUUCGUUGCUGAAAGAAUCAAAGAAGGGCUAUCCCUCUUCUGACCUCUUAGCCGAGCCAACCUCUUCCAGGGUGAGUUCAGGAGUCUCCUUCACUGGCACAGUUAAUCAUAUUUGACAUUUUGAUUUCCAGGUGAUGACAGAACCGCAACACAAGCUCAGCUGCUUCAGAGGAUGAGCUGGCUUCCAGAUCAGGUAUUAAUUAGGUUCCCCCUGUGCACACACAUCAUUUUUAAAUUAAUGCUGCCGGGAUCUAGUCCCAUUCCAUGCCUAGCCCCAGUUGAGAAACAUGAUGUUCAGUGGGGCACUGUGUGCCAGGCGUUGUGGGUCAAAAUCAGUAGUGGAGGAAGUAAUAAUAAUAAUAAUAAUAAUAAUAUAUUUAUACCCCAGCCACUCUGGGUGGCUCCCAACAAAAUAUUAUUAGUAAUAAUAAUAAAGAGAUAAAACAUCAAACAUUUAAAAACUUCCCUAAACAGGGCUGCCUUCAGAUGUCUUCUAAAAGUCAGAUAGUUGUUUAUUUCCUUGACAUCUGAUGGGAGGGUGUUCCACAGGGUGGGUGCCACUACCAAGAAGGCCCUCUGCCUGGUUCCCUGUAACCUCACUUCUUGCAGGGAGGGAACCGCCAGAAGGCCCUCAGAGCUGGACCACACACAACGGUUCUCUUUAAUCAUGUUGAAACUCCCCUUUAUCUGACCCGAGACUGAUAUGACCAUGUUUUGUGCUAUGGCACAAUAAAUAAUAAUAUUUUAUUUUAUUUUAUUAUUUUAUAUCUACACCAGCAGGUAUCUGGGCAAGUUACAACAAUUUAAAAAAUCAUAAUUAAAAAAAAUUAAGACAUAUUACAUUUACAAGAAUCCAUGUUCUUUUAUAAUCAGCUUAUUUACAGUAUUUACUGCCAACCUAGCAGUUUGAAAGCAUACUAGUGCGAGUAGAUAACUAGGUACCACUGCAGCAGGAAGGUAAACGCCGUUUCCAUACAGCAUAGAUGUACGGUAUAAUGAUUUCCUGGGAAUUGUCAUGGUUCCUCCCACUGAAUCCUGGGAACUGUAGUUUGGUGAGGAUGCUGAGAAUUCUCCCUUGCUCCCCCCACAACCUCCUAGAACUGCAAUCCUCAGGAUUUUCUGAGACAUGGAAAUGACUAUUAAACCAACAGAAAAUUGUUGUAAAUCAGCCCAAUGCCCAGUAGUGAAAGAAGGGGGACAGGGGCCACAGGCAGUACUGGGGCUCCCUCCAACAUGGGGAGUGGGACACGUGGGGCAUGCAGCCUGCAGGGUGCCCCAGCCGCUGCCCCCCGCCCCCUCCAGCUGAGGGGGAGGUGGCUGGUGGACUCCCUGCAGGCUGUGUGUAGUGUGCCCUGUCCCAGCUAGCCCUGCCUAGUGGGCAGCUAGCCCCACCCCUGGAAGCUAGCCCUGCCCUGGACACCCAAGCAACUAGCUACGCCACUUUCCUGUUCCAAAUCGGUGUUUUCAACUUCUUGUCCCUUUGGGUAAUUCCUUUCAUCCCAUGUGUCACAUCUUGUUCGUUAAAGGGGCUGGCUGUUUCUGGAGCCCAUUUCAAAGCUGAUCUUUCCUGCUAAUGCAAAUCUUGAAAUCACCUUUUUCUUUCCUUAGCUGUGGCGGAUUAUAUCCAGUUAGGUUCUGUGUGACACCAUGUGCAAUUGGAUGUCAAGAUCAUAUCCCGCUUUUUGCUCAAAUAUAAAUUGAGCUCCCAGGAUGUGGACUUGGCCUUUUGGCCAGAGGCAAUUCAGGUCAGGAAGAUGACGAGCUCUGCGAAAGUCCAAAUUGUACUGCAAUAUAGAAGAGCUGGGUUCAGAAGUUCAAAGCAGAAUCCAUGCCGCAAGAUGACAGGGUGGAACUGCCAGAGCUAAGUGGAAAGCUGGUAGAGCAGAAACCAAACAAAGAGGGCAGGCAGACAUAACAUUUGCAGAGCUGUGGCACUAGUUCAAAAGCACAGUUGCUCCAUUCCUUACAAAUGUACCUUUUCCCAUCUAAGGCCAAUCUCAGGAGAAAAUAGCUCUGCAAGUUGGGCUACUGCCGUUAAUGCUACGAAAGCACCUCAGCCCAUCAGUCCUGAAACAGCAUAAUAAAAAUGUUUCCUUUUUUUCCAAUUAGGCGAAGCGUGAAUGUGGAUAGUGUCAUUAUACAGUUUAGUCACUAGGUGGCCCUAGACUUAGCUGUAGCUUGAGAAGUCGGGAGUUGUCUGUGUCUGUUCUGUUCCUAAGAGAGACAAUAAUAAGGUUAAGGAAUAGACCCUACACAAAUUCAGAGUGGAGUCCCUAAGAUGGUUAGAUAGGACCUUGUAUUCCUCCUCCCGGCGAUUCCUGAAGCCAGGCUGGUGCCAGACAUAUUUCUGCUUUCCACUGAAGCACAUCAGCAAAGCCAAGAGGGGGGUCCUGUCAUCCCAGUACGUUUCCGAGCACAAUUCAAAGUGUUGGUGCUGACCUUUAAAGCCCUAAACGGCCUCGGUCCUGUAUACCUGAAGGAGCGUCUCCACCCCCAUCGUUCUACCCGGACACUGAGGUCCAGCACCGAGGGCCUUCCGGCAGUUCCCUCACUGCGAGAAGCCAAGUUACAGGGAACCAGGCAGAGGGCCUUCUCAGUAGUGGCACCCGCCUUGUGAAACGCCCUCCCACCAGAUGUCAAAGAGAACAACAACUACC